UGGUUCGGGCAUCGAUGAAGAACGCAGCGAAAUGCGAUAAGUAAUGUGAAUUGCAGAACUCAGCGAAUCAUCGAAUCUUUGAACGCACAUUGCGCCCGGGAGUAUUCUCCCGGGCAUGCCUGUUCGAGCGUCAUUUCAACCCUCGCGCCCCGCGCGGUGUUGGGGCCCUGCGGCUGCCGCAGGCCCUGAAAUUCAGUGGCGGGCUCGCCAGGACCCCCAGCGCAGUAGCUUAACCUCGCUGGCGGCGUCCCGGUGCGUUCCGGCCGUGAAACCCCCCAUUUCUCAAGGUUGACCUCGGAUCAGGUAGGAAUACCCGCUGA
rnacentral:misc_RNA from 1 species